rnacentral:lncRNA from 1 species
AGGAUAUUAAGGUAAAGUGACUUUUUAUUUGAUACUCUUUAUUUUAUUUCUCAAAAUGGCUAGACAAGAUUUCAAUGUAGGGUCUGUUUUUCAAAAUUUAGAAACACAAGUUCAAGGUCUCACUCAAAAGAUAUUUAAAAACGGCAUUAAUUCGAUAGAAAGCUUUGAUGGUUCAAAAUCAGACAAAUUAGGAAUAGGUGUAUCAGAUGUGAGCACAAUUGUUCAUGAUCAAGAUGCUGAUUAACUCAUUAAAAAAAAUGUUUU